CCUGACCCUGCAGCUCUGGGAGAGGAGUCACAGCCCCGGGAUUCCCAGCUGUCUCCACUUGGUCAUGAACACUGAACUCAGAAGAGGCACCAUGGAGUUUGUGCUGAGUUUGGUUUUCCUUGUGGCUAUUUUAAAAGGUGUCCAGUGUGACGUGCAGCUGGUGGAGUCUGGGGGAGGCUUGGUAAAGCCUGGGGGGUCUCUGAGACUCUCUUGUGUAGCCUCUGGAUUCACCUUCAGUAGCUAUGCUAUGCACUGGGUCCGCCAGGCUCCAGGAAAGGGUCUGGAGUGGGUCUCAGUUAUUAGUACAAGUGGUGGUACCACAUACUACGCAGACUCUGUGAAGGGCCGAUUCACCAUCUCCAGAGACAACGCCAAGAACUCACUGUUUCUGCAAAUGAACAGCCUGAGAGCCGAGGACACGGCUGUGUAUUACUGUAUGAGAGACACAGUGAGGAGAAGUCAGUGUGAGCCCAGACACAAACCUCCCUGCAGGGUACCUGGGACAACCAGGGAACGCCUGGGACACUGUACAUGGGGCUGUCUCCAGGGGCAAGUGCAGGUGGUGCAAGGGCUGGUUUCCCGUCGUGGUCUGGAGCUGCCUUGCUACCAAAUUACCCCAGGGAAUUUCUCUAGAUUUACAAUUCUGUACUAA